rnacentral:lncRNA from 1 species
CUUGGGAAGCCAUCAAUUUAUGUCGGCGAAGUGGUUUCCCCUCCAACACUGACCUAUAUCAAGAUCAACUCAACGAGAUCUGCAAAAUUUAUUAUAGACAUAUGCCUCGACAACCGCCCUUUUAAAGUUUUUAUAAAUAGAAAGGAUGAGGGGGUUGGAGAUCUUGAAUGUGGUGAUGUUGGAGAGACCAAUGGAUUGUGAAGAUGUUGCAUAUGAGCAUGGAGUAAAUGAAGUGGCUAUGAAAUAAAUUCCAUGCUCAUUAAUGCUUAGAGUGGAAUCCAUGUGGUAUGGUGAAAAUGAUAAGGUGAUUGUGGUAAAAAAAAGGAAAAGAAAAAGGAUACACAGACGACUUGGUUCGAAACUAGCACAGCUACCGUUCCCUGGCAACGGCGCCAGAAAGUUUGUUGGGUAUUUUAAACGCAAACAGAAAAAUCCGCAAGCGCACGGAUACCGAUGUAGCUUUCACCCGGGAGUAUUCCAGAGUAUCGAUUUUCCAC